rnacentral:lncRNA from 1 species
AUGAAUGGUAAGGAAUCUGUGAGGUGCAUUAGACCCAAAGACCUUUGGAAUUUGUUGAAAGACAACUCAGUUUCCAUGAGAAACAAAGUACAAAGAUUGGCUUUUUUCUCAUCAGAGCCCGGCAGAGCUGGAAGGGACCUCAGAGAUGAACUCGUCCAACCUACUCAUUUUACAGAUGAAGAGAAUCCAUUAGAAUUUGACUUUAUUUCUGGGUUUGUUUCAAGUCGUUUAAGCAAGAAGAGGCCGGUUAUGAUAAGGCAGCCCAUUGUGCAGUGCAGAUAUAUCUGGAAAAACCCUGGGUUGUAUCAUGAAUGCGAACCAUGGCAAAAAGCUAACCCAGACCAAGAGCCUGAUAGAACUCAUUUAGCUCCUAAGGCCUUCCUGCUUUGAUCAUUGCCUGCGAUGAUGUGACAUUUGGAGCUGCAGCAGUCAUUUUGUGACCUAAGGUGACAAGCCUGAGGACAAAAAGCUCACACAUUGAAGGUAACAGAAUGGAAUGAGAGAAAGGAUAUGGCUUUUUAAUGAUAUAAUUGAGCAGCCAGACUAACCCUAGUAUUGUCUACCCUCAGAUCUCUUGGUGAGAAAAGUAAAUACUUCUCUUGUUUCAGUUCUUUAAGUUGGAUAUUCUGUUACUCAUAGUCCCCCAAAUCCAAGUUCAUAAGCCCUGUGACCUUGAACACAUUCCCGUAUUAACUAUUCUCUGCCUAGGUGCCUUCAUUGGUAAAAUAGAGAUUAAUACACGCACACAUUUUUACAAAAUUAUACAUACUCAUUUGUAUUCUAUUUCUGUCCUAUACCAUUCUAUCAUGACAUUCUCCAGUGUUCUUCAGAAUAUUUCUAAAAGCUCCAUCUUUAAUGGCUAUGGAGAUGUUUGUCAUAUGUUUCUCUCAAACACCCCUAUUGUUGGGCAUUUACAUUGUUAGCAAAUGUUUUUUUGUAUAAGGAAAUGCUGCAAUGAAGCCUCCUUUUACAUUAAGUUUUGUACCUUCACUUCUUUUUUGAGAAUUGAUUUCUAGAACUGGAAAUCCUGUGUCGCAUGUGUAGGGCUUAUGAUAUCAAAGCCACACUGUCUCCCCUCUGUCUUGCACAGACUUACCCUUGCUAUUAAAAGUGUACAUGAGGUGCACCUGGCUGGCUCAGUCGGUGGAACAUGCUACUCUUGAUCUUGGGGUUGUGAGUUCAAGCCCCAUAUUGGCUGUAGAGCUUACUUUAAAUAAAUAAAUAAAUAAAUACA